AUUGAACGCUGGCGGCAGGCCUAACACAUGCAAGUCGAGCGGCGCUGCGACCGAGUGGGUAAUGCCUAGGAAGCUGCCUGGUAGUGGGGUAUCCCUUCGGGGAACGGUAGCUAAUACCGCAUACUUGCAAAUGACCCUAGGUCGGAUUAGCUAGUUGGGGGGGUAAAGGCUUACCAAGGCGACGAUCCAUAACUGGUCUGAGAGGAUGAUCAGUCACACUGGAACUGAGACACGGUCCAGACUCCUACGGGAGGCAGCAGUGGGGAAUCUUCGACAAUGGGCGAAAGCCUGAUCCAGCAAUGCCGCGUGUGUGAAGAAGGUUUUCGGAUUGUAAAGCACUUUAAGUUGGGAAGCGUUAUCUACAGAAUAAGCCACGGCUAACUACGUGCCAGCAGCCGCGGUAAUUC
rnacentral:rRNA from 1 species